rnacentral:SRP_RNA from 1 species
GCUGGGCGCGGUGCCGCGUGCCUGUAAUCCCAGCUACUCGGGAGGCUGAGACAGGAGAAUUGCUUGAACCCGGGAGGCGGAGGUUGCAGUGAGCUGAGAUCACGCCACUGCACUCCAGCCUGGGCGACAGAGCAAGACUCCGUCUCAA